UAACUGUGCUGCUGGAUUUCCUUAAUUCCUCAUAUUCCAAAGGUUCAUGCUCUUUAGGGGAGGAACUUUGUCCUCUUCAGCCUGUGUAGUGGCUAGUACAGUUGGCCAAGUAUUGCGAUACAAACUGCAGUUGGAUCAGGUACUAGAAACGUUAGAAACAAAGCACUUGUAUUGCACAAGUGGCAGGAUGAAAUCUGGCUUUGGUAGAAUUCUCAUAGAAGAAAAGAACUCCUGUGAAUCAGCCAUGACAUGUGAUCUUGUUUUAAAUUUGCAGGAGUGUGUAGAUAGUUUUGUUUCUGAACGCAGAACAACCUCUUUCCAAGUCUGCCACUCCCAUUGAUUCUGUGCCCCAAAGAGCUGAGUGUUUCUGCUUAUUUUCAGAGCUCCGCUGGCUAUUCCUCUGCCUUUCUGCCUUUUGUAGGCACACGAAGCUGGGCCCCAGCACCCCCUUCAGUUUGCAGACAAGCUUUUAAGCUGUGGCCUGUAACCGUGAAUAUUGGCGUUCUGCUGUUUCCCAGUAUUGCUACAGCAAAACAGUAUAUAAUGGCUCUUUCUGAUUUGUCUUCUAGGAAGAAUUUGGACAUCUAUCAGUUUUUAGCAUGGCCUGUGAUGAUCCAACUAGUAUGAGAGCUCUUUGCUACAUAACUUCCCUGAUGGAAGGGAAAAAACCUGCCUUUGGAUUAUGAGCUAAACCCUAAUAUCAGAGAGAAAACUACCACAGUGCUACUCCCUCCUUGGUGGCAACUGCAUGUUAGUCACUGUGUGCUUCCACAGCCCUUCUAAUUAAAUGUAACUUCAGGGAUGGGAUUUCGUUCUUCAUGUGACUUGGAAAAUGAAAUCUCUUGCUGGAUUUUGCGCACUGGGGAAAAUAUAGUUGAAUCUGGAGAAGGAAUUUGCUUGCAGAACAGUCCCAAAUCUUACCUGAGUCUUAGAGUUGGAGUUGGACUCAUUAGGUCCUGGCAGAGGCUCAGGAACAGGCCCUUUCUUCCUUUCUGCACUCUGAGAAUGGAUUGAUAAGGAUUCCUUCCUAAUUUGUCUUGUGCAAUGCUCCUCACUUCCAAGACUGCAACCUUGGACAAUUGACCUGGUCGUUUCUUUCCAACUUAUUUUGGUUUGGCUGGUAGAUUUCAACAUUGCUGGCAUGCAUCUAUUGGUGUCCCACCAGCUGCACCUAGUACCCGGCAGAAGUGAAGAUUAUGCAGGUACUGAGAAGUGAAAAGACCAAGGACAUGAAAUCUUGUGUUAAAGUAGUGAUGAUGUUGUAAUGCAACUGAGAUUAAACUUUGGUAUUUUAUAUUAGUGGAGCAGUCCAAUGAAUUUGAUCCUGAGGAUGAAAGGAAAAAAGAGGCUUCAAAGCUGGGGAUUACAAAUAGCUAAUUGCUAAUAGGUUAUUUAGGUGAAGUGAAUGUGUAAGAGGGGUUGGUGUAGUGCCCAUUUGAACUAUCAAUGAUAUCUUUCUAAUGAGUAUGACUUACUAGAUAAAUACAACUUGUACAAUUACCUGAUGUUGCACUCAGAGGGGUACACAGGAUGUUUCAAUGGAACAGGAAUCCUACCCCCUGGAGACCAUUUGCUGAAUUCUUUAAAGGUCAGGCAUACUUGUAAGGCAGUGGAAAAUGAGGAUUUAGAUUAAAAAAGAAUACUUCAGAGCUGGUGAAUCACUUCAGACCACAAGUACUGGAAGAUACUGCUUAUAAAGUCCAAAGACUGUUGUCCUGAGUUGGGAGGGUGAGUUGGGUAGAA